AUGAGAAGGCGAGUCCUGCUGUUCCAGGAAGAUGUCAUGCCAGGGGCAGUUUGAGCCCAAGUUCCACAGACUGAGCACAAAGCGUUAUCCAUGGUGAAAAUGGCUCAGCCUCCCCCGGCCAGGCACUCCUUAUCUUAUAUUUGAGAAACAUAAAGGUGGAGAAACCUGUGGCCUUGGUUUGCUCAUCCGCAAACUUGGGAAGAUGUGUGGGUGACUGUAUUAUCCCCAGUGCUGGACCCAUACCAGGAAAAUCAGGGCUGAAAGCGGGGAGUGUCCUCUUCCUUUCAAGAAAGAAGGAUGGGAAGGGGCCCACGGCAGCCCCCGGGCUCCCAGCCGAGGAGAAGCAACACUGGACGUAACCCAGCACUGCCACCAUCUUCUCCUGGCUGGGGCAGCCGCAGCGCUUUAUCCUUCCAUGCAGGCUGUCUGUUCAUGCCCUCAGGAGGAAGAACCAAGCCAGCACCUUGUUCAUCUUGUGAAGGAAAUGUGGCAAGCCUGGUUAAGUUACCGAGUAAAGGAGAAUGGUACUCGGCUCCUUGUUAUCCUAGAAAGGCAAUUUCAUAGGACUCUGAGCCCUACACUUAUGUCUUGGAACCCUGGGGUGCAUUUUCCGAGGGUCUUUUCUCUUUUAAGAGAACAUUCCAGAACAUCAUAAGUGGUGACUUUAAAUUCUUCACCCCUUUCAUUAUCGAAAGAAUAGAUUUCGGAGAGGAGCAUAACUGUCUUCUGCCAUAGCCUUCAGUCUAACCUGCUCUUACAGGAUGACUCACUUCAUCGUGGCUGGGUUUUAAUAGUAUGUGGCAUUGAGGAGGCUGCUUCUAAAUGACUGAUCUUGAAUUACGGAUGGAUCUUUAAAAAUAUGUUGUAGAACAGGCCAUGUUUAUUUUUAGUGGCUUUCUCCCCAUAAUGUUAUCUGCAUAUUUCCCUGUCCAUGUGCUUGGUCACUGAUGACAAGCAAGGAAAAUUGUGAUGUCUAAGGAAGACAUGCAAAAGAAUGUUUGAAGAUUUUCCCUUCCCUUAUUUUCUGGCAGUGACUUGUGUUUAGGAGAAUUGGCACUUAAACA
rnacentral:lncRNA from 1 species